UCAGAGAACAGGCACCCAACGGAGAGACAAGUCUACCAUUAAUGCACCAAAGAUCCAGCUGAUUUCUGGAAAUUUGGAGGAGGAUUCUUCUUCUGCUACGUUACACUGUCACUUCAGAUUCAUUGACCUUUUGUGUGUGGGACAACAUUUCUCUUUCAAAACUACAGCAAUUGGUCUCCUCAGUUCCCAAACGUUUACAGAGCGUUGUUCAAAGAAGAGGUGAUGCAACACAGUGGUAA